rnacentral:lncRNA from 1 species
GCUGGAUCUGCCUGGGACACCAAAUUCUUGUUCUGACAUGAGGAUUGUGUCUGACCAGCAGUGAUAUCUAUUUGAAGCAAGGAAUAUCAUCCUUCCAAGGACAACUUCAAGCUCUUCCCUAAGCAAGUCAUCCCAGAUACCAAAUACGACCUGA